rnacentral:rRNA from 1 species
UACAGAGGUCUCAACCGUUGUUCGGAAUUACUGGGCGUAAAGCGCACGUAGGCGGCUUUGUAAGUUAGAGGUGAAAGCCCGGGGCUCAACUCCGGAAUUGCCUUUAAGACUGCAUCGCUAGAACGUCGGAGAGGUAAGUGGAAUUCCGAGUGUAGAGGUGAAAUUCGUAGAUAUUCGGAAGAACACCAGUGGCGAAGGCGACUUACUGGACGACUGUUGACGCUGAGGUGCGAAAGCGUGGGGAGCAAACAGG